CACGUAGUUGGCCGGUGCUUCUUCUGCAGGUACCGUCACUUGCGCUUCGUCCCUGCUGAAAGAGGUUUACAACCCGAAGGCCGUCAUCCCUCACGCGGCGUCGCUGCAUCAGGCUUGCGCCCAUUGUGCAAUAUUCCCCACUGCUGCUUCCCGUAGGAGUCUGGGCCGUGUCUCAGUCCCAGUGUGGCCGGUCGCCCUCUCAGGCCGGCUACCCGUCGUCGCCUUGGUAGGCCAUUACCCCACCAACAAGCUGAUAGGCCGCGGGCCCAUCCUGCACCGAUAAAUCUUUCCACCACACGGCAUGCACCGCGCAGUACUAUCCGGUAUUAGACCCAGUUUCCCGGGCUUAUCCCGAAGUGCAGGGCAGAUCACCCACGUGUUACUCACCCGUUCGCCACUCGUGUACCCCGAAGGGCCUUACCGUUCGACUUGCAUGUGUUAAGCACGCCGCCAGCGUUCGUCCUGAGCCAGGAUCAAACUCU
rnacentral:rRNA from 1 species